rnacentral:rRNA from 1 species
GACGAACGCUGGCGGCGUGCUUAACACAUGCAAGUCGAGCGGUAAGGCCCUUUCGGGGGUACACGAGCGGCGAACGGGUGAGUAACACGUGGGUGACCUGCCCUCAGCUCUGGGAUAAGCCUGGGAAACUGGGUCUAAUACUGGAUAUGACUCCACGGUGCAUGUCGUGGGGUGGAAAGCCUUGUGCGGCUGAGGAUGGGCCCGCGGCCUAUCAGCUUGUUGGUGGGGUGAGGCCUACCAAGGCGACGACGGGUAGCCGGCCUGAGAGGGCGACCGGCCACACUGGGACUGAGACACGGCCCAGACUCCUACGGGAGGCAGCAGUGGGGAAUCUUGCGCAAUGGGCGAAAGCCUGACGCAGCGACGCCGCGUGAGGGAUGACGGCCUCGG